UCCUCCCUCUGGCUUCGUGCUUAACACAUGCAAGUCGAACGGAAAGGCCCUGCUUUUGUGGGGUGCUCGAGUGGCGAACGGGUGAGUAACACGUGAGUAACCUGCCCUUGACUUUGGGAUAACUUCAGGAAACUGGGGCUAAUACCGGAUAGGAGCUCCUGCUGCAUGGUGGGGGUUGGAAAGUUUCGGCGGUUGGGGAUGGACUCGCGGCUUAUCAGCUUGUUGGUGGGGUAGUGGCUUACCAAGGCUUUGACGGGUAGCCGGCCUGGGAGGGUGACCGGCCACAUGGGGACUGAGAUACGGCCCAGACUCCUACGGGAGGCAGCAGUGGGGAAUAUUGCACAAUGGGCGGAAGCCUGAUGCAGCAACGCCGCGUGCGGGAUGACGGCCUUCGGGUUGUAAACCGCUUUCGCCUGUGACGAAGCGUGAGUGACGGUAAUGGGUAAAGAAGCACCGGCUAACUACGUG
rnacentral:rRNA from 1 species